rnacentral:rRNA from 1 species
UACAGAGGUCCCGAGCGUUGUUCGGAUUUAUUGGGCGUAAAGGGUGCGUAGGUGGCAAAGUAAGUUGGAUGUGAAAUCCUGGGGCUCAACCUCAGAAUUGCAUUCAAUACUGCUUAGCUAGAGAGCUGUAGAGGAGACUGGAAUUUACGGUGUAGCAGUGAAAUGCGUAGAUAUCGUAAGGAACGCCAGUGGCGAAAGCGAGUCUCUGGGCAGCAUCUGACACUGAGGCACGAAGGCCAGGGGAGCAAAGCGGG